rnacentral:rRNA from 1 species
AGAGACAGCAGCAGCCACGGGAAUACAGAGGGUGCGAGCGUUAAUCGGAUUUACUGGGCGUAAAGCGUGCGUAGGCGGCUUUUUAAGUCGGAUGUGAAAUCCCUGAGCUUAACUUAGGAAUUGCAUUCGAUACUGGGAAGCUAGAGUAUGGGAGAGGAUGGUAGAAUUCCAGGUGUAGCGGUGAAAUGCGUAGAGAUCUGGAGGAAUACCGAUGGCGAAGGCAGCCAUCUGGCCUAAUACUGACGCUGAGGUACGAAAGCAUGGGGAGCAAACAGGAUUAGAUACCCGAGUAGUCCCUGUCUCUUAUAC